AUUGAACGCUGGCGGCAGGCCUAACACAUGCAAGUCGAACGGUAACAGGAAACAGCUUGCUGUUUCGCUGACGAGUGGCGGACGGGUGAGUAAUGUCUGGGAAACUGCCUGAUGGAGGGGGAUAACUACUGGAAACGGUAGCUAAUACCGCAUAACGUCGCAAGACCAAAGAGGGGUACCUUCGGGCCUCUUGCCAUCGGAUGUUCCCAGAUGGGAUUAGCUAGUAGGUGGGGUAACGGCUCACCUAGGCGACGCUGCCUAGCUGGUCUGAGAGGAAGACCAGACACACUGGAAAUGAGACACGGUCCAGACUCCUACGGGAGGCAGCAGUGGGGAAUAUUGCACAAUGGGCGCAAGCCUGAUGCAGCCAUGUCGCGUGUAUGAAGAAGGCCUCCGGGUUGUAAAGUACUUUCAGCGGGGAGGAAGGGAGUAAAGUUAAUACCUUUGCUCAUUGACGUUACCCGCAGAAGAAGCACCGGCUAACUCCGUGCCAGCCGCCGCAGUAA
rnacentral:rRNA from 1 species